UGUUUCACUUGGGGAGGGAGAUCCUGGGGUGUGCUCCACUGCCUCCAUCAUUCCAGAAUGAGAAAGGAACUUCCUUUAGAAGAUAAGACUUGGGAGUUUCUUUGCAAAAUUAUCUGAAACAUUGGUAGCUAAUAACUGCAAAAUGGAAAAGCUCAACUGUGGACAGAUAGUAACGAGAGACUAUAAAGUCAGACAGGAUAAUUAUCAUUAGUAAGACAGGUGGGAAAGUAGCACACACAAACCUAUCUGGGUUGAUAGAGAGUUGACCUAGAGAGUUUUGCUGAAAAUGACAAAAUGCACAGUUACCUCAGCCUGUUUGCAGAAAAGUGCAGCAGAAGCAGCAGCAGAAGCCAGUGACCUCCUCCCACUUCUGACCCACAGCCUGCCCACUGGAAAAGACCAACACUCCAAAACCAGAAACCAGGUGCAGCAACCAGAACAGGAAGCAUCUCAUGUUGCAGUCUGAACUCCAAGCCCCAUAAUACUUUGCUCCAGCCAGCACUUUCAUUUCGAAGCUGGCAUGAUGGCAGCAUGGUAUUGGAUAUUACCAAAUCCAGCUCAACCCCUGACAUGAGUUCUUUGUGGCAAGAUAUAGGAUUUUUCAUGUCUUUUCUAACAAAUAGUUAAAGUAUUUGUAUAUUGCUGGUAACGAUCAGAAGACAUUUGAGAGAAAAAUCUACAUGUUCUAUAUUCACUUUUUUAUCUGUGUUUUGCUUCUGGAAUUGUUGAAUUCCCAUUUCUUUGAGAUCAGUUACUAGCAAUAAAGAGAUUUUUCAAAUCAGCCCCUAGGUUCCUGACUGCAGCAGAAAUGG